rnacentral:rRNA from 1 species
UACAGAGGGUGCAAGCGUUAAUCGGAAUUACUGGGCGUAAAGCGUGCGUAGACGGUUACAUAAGUCGGAUGUGAAAGCCCCGGGCUCAACCUGGGAAUGGCAUUCGAGACUGUGCAGCUAGGAUGCGGAAGAGGGAAGCGGAAUUUCCGGUGUAGCGGUGAAAUGCGUAGAUAUCGGAAGGAACACCAGUGGCGAAAGCGGCUUCCUGGACCAAUAUUGACGCUGAGGAGCGAAAGCUAGGGGAGCGAACGGG